UACGUAGGGUGCAAGCGUUGUCCGGAAUUAUUGGGCGUAAAGAGCUCGUAGGCGGUCUGUCGCGUCGAAUGUGAAAACCCGGGGCUCAACCCCGGGCCUGCAUUCGAUACGGGCAGACUAGAGUUCGGUAGGGGAGACUGGAAUUCCUGGUGUAGCGGUGAAAUGCGCAGAUAUCAGGAGGAACACCGGUGGCGAAGGCGGGACUCUGGACCGAUACUGACGCUGAGGAGCGAAAGCGUGGGGAGCAAACAGG
rnacentral:rRNA from 1 species